rnacentral:rRNA from 1 species
GACGAACGCUGGCGGCGCUUACCACAUGCAAGUCGAACGAAGAGCGAUGGAAGCUUGCUUCUAUCAAUCUUAGUGGCGAACGGGUGAGUAACGCGUAAUCAACCUGCCCUUCAGAGGGGGACAACAGUUGGAAACGACUGCUAAUACCGCAUACGAUCUAAUCUCGGCAUCGAGGAUAGAUGAAAGGUGGCCUCUACAUGUAAGCUAUCACUGAAGGAGGGGAUUGCGUCUGAUUAGCUAGUUGGAGGGGUAACGGCCCACCAAGGCGAUGAUCAGUAGCCGGUCUGAGAGGAUGAACGGCCACAUUGGGACUGAGACACGGCCCAGACUCCUACGGGAGGCAGCAGUGGGGAAUCUUCCGCAAUGGACGAAAGUCUGACGGAGCAACGCCGCGUGAGUGAUGACGGCCUUCGGGUUGUAAAGCUCUGUUAAUCGGGACGAAAGGCCUUCUUGCGAAUAGUGAGAAGGAUUGACGGUACCGGAAUAGAAAGCCACGGCUAACUACGUG